rnacentral:rRNA from 1 species
UGCCAGCCGCCGCGGUAAUACGGAGGAUCCACGCGUUAUCCGGAAUUAUUGGGUUUAAAGGGUCCGCAGGCUGUUUGUUAAGUCAGGGGUGAAAUCCUACCGCUCAACCGUAGAAUUGCCUUUGAUACUGUUAGACUUGAGUUAUUGUGAAGUAAUUAGAAUGUGUAGUGUAGCGGUGAAAUGCAUAGAUAUUACACAGAAUACCGAUUGCGAAAGCAGAUUACUAACAAUACACUGACGCUGAGGGACGCAAGCGUUGGUCGCGAACAGGAUUAGAUA